AGCUCUCCGAGUGGUGUGGAUGUUUAUUGGGCCUAAAGCAUCCGUAGCCGGCUAAGUUAGUCCCUUGUUAAAUCCACCGAAUUAAUCGUUGGAUUGCGGGGGAUACUGCUUGGCUAGGGGACGAGAGAGGCAGACGGUAUUUUUGGGGUAGGGGUGAAAUCCUAUAAUCCCAGGAAGACCACCAGUGGCGAAGGCUGUCUGCUAGAACGCGCCCGACGGUGAGGGAUGAAAGCUGGGGGAGCGAACC
rnacentral:rRNA from 1 species